AUGAGUCCUCCCAAGGGCCUGAGCGGCAGAGGCUGUGAGAGAUUGAGCAGAGGGCUGGUGGAUGGCUGGCCGGAGAUAGUAGAGUCCACUUUAUCCCUCUAUCUACUAUCUGCUGCACAGGAACAAGGUUUCAGAGCGAUGAUAACUUUUCGAGAGGAUGAGAGGAUGCACCAUCAAAACUGCAGUUCAGGCCACGUCCUUGCACAUCCAGCCUGCCUCUCUGCCCCCUAUCCACCUGCUCCUCUCUCCCUGCUGCCUUACCUGUACUCACCUGUGUCUGUCUGUGCAGGUGAGUGAGAGCCAAGCCCCCUUUGGGACCUGCUGAUUAGGGUAUUAAAAAUAAAUGGGCUCAGUUUAGGGGGGGUUUGGUGGCACGGUGGUAUAUAUUUCUGUUAAUUUUUCUGCCCCCCCUCCUCCCUCUCUCUCUCCUAUGUAGUGACUGAUCUGGCAGAAUAUGAUAGCAUGGGCUGUCACGGCAAUAAUUAGGCCUAUUUUCCGUGAGGUCAUCUUACAGGGACGCUGGGCGGCUGUGGUUCACACACAGGGUGCUCUGUGCUGCUCCUGCCCCAGAGCCCCCAGGAUAUGAUCGUCCACACAGGGCAACAAAGAAUCACUCCGCAGCAAAUGAACGAAACAUAAAACACCUACAAUCUGAUAUGGACUGUGGUUCCCAACGCUUUAUACGCUGGGAGAGUUUGCCUCGCUGGGCUUUCACAGCUCCGAAUCAAGCAGGCUUUUAUCAAACUGUGUCCCGUCUAAAAUAUUAAACAAGAUCUGAAGGAGGAUUAAGUUGUCAAGGGAAUUACCUGUGAUGGAUUUCAAAGGGAGAGCCCCAUUUCUGUUUGUUUUCUGCACCAAGGUCGAGUAAUUGAUGUGAAAACUUUAAGUCUAAAUAAAACCGUCAAGUGUGAGGUAGACAUGAGGGUAUUUGGUGCUGCUAGCAGAAAGCCAACAGUGCCAAGUCAGAGCGCAACAUAUUUCAGCUCCAUUCAGAACACUCCCUGGUUGGGUCAACAGCUGCAGGCUAGAAUUAGAAAUCAAUUAUUCAGCUUCGACAAGCUCAUUAAGUCUCUGAAUAGGAUUUUCUGUUCUGAGUCUGCCUGCUCAUUUCUCCUAGCUUGCAGUUUCUAAUUAGUAUUUCUUUUCUCUUUAAAGUUUGAUGGGAGUUUGGGUAAAAAAAAAAAAAAAACGUGGGCACUG
rnacentral:lncRNA from 1 species